rnacentral:rRNA from 1 species
GAUGAACGCUGGCGGCGUGCCUAAUACAUGCAAGUCGAGCGAACAGAUAAGGAGCUUGCUCCUUUGACGUUAGCGGCGGACGGGUGAGUAACACGUGGAUAACCUACCUAUAAGACUGGGAUAACUUCGGGAAACCGGAGCUAAUACCGGAUAACAUAUUGAACCGCAUGGUUCAAUAGUGAAAGGCGGCUUUGCUGUCACUUAUAGAUGGAUCCGCGCCGUAUUAGCUAGUUGGUAAGGUGACGGCUUACCAAGGCAACGAUACGUAGCCGACCUGAGAGGGUGAUCGGCCACACUGGAACUGAGACACGGUCCAGACUCCUACGGGUGGCAGCAGUAGGGAAUCUUCCGCAAUGGGCGAAAGCCUGACGGAGCAACGCCGCGUGAGUGAUGAAGGUCUUCGGAUCGUAAAACUCUGUUAUCAGGGAAGAACAAAUGUGUAAGUAACUGUGCACAUCUUGACGGUACCUGAUCAGAAAGCCACGGCUAACUACGUGCCAGCAGCCGCGGUAAUACGUAGGUGGCAAGCGUUAUCCGGAAUUAUUGGGCGUAAAGCGCGCGUAGGGCGGUUUUUUAAGUCUGAUGUGAAAGCCCACGGCUCAACCGUGGAGGGUCAUUGGAAACUGGAAAACUUGAGUGCAGAAGAGGAAAGUGGAAUUCCAUGUGUAGCGGUGAAAUGCGCAGAGAUAUGGAGGAACACCAGUGGCGAAGGCGACUUUCUGGUCUGUAACUGACGCUGAUGUGCGAAAGCGUGGGGAUCAAACAGGAUUAGAUACCCUGGUAGUCCACGCCGUAAACGAUGAGUGCUAAGUGUUAGGGGGUUUCCGCCCCUUAGUGCUGCAGCUAACGCAUUAAGCACUCCGCCUGGGGAGUACGACCGCAAGGUUGAAACUCAAAGGAAUUGACGGGGACCCGCACAAGCGGUGGAGCAUGUGGUUUAAUUCGAAGCAACGCGAAGAACCUUACCAAAUCUUGACAUCCUUUGACCGCUCUAGAGAUAGAGUCUUCCCCUUCGGGGGACAAAGUGACAGGUGGUGCAUGGUUGUCGUCAGCUCGUGUCGUGAGAUGUUGGGUUAAGUCCCGCAACGAGCGCAACCCUUAAGCUUAGUUGCCAUCAUUAAGUUGGGCACUCUAAGUUGACUGCCGGUGACAAACCGGAGGAAGGUGGGGAUGACGUCAAAUCAUCAUGCCCCUUAUGAUUUGGGCUACACACGUGCUACAAUGGACAAUACAAAGGGCAGCUAAACCGCGAGGUCAAGCAAAUCCCAUAAAGUUGUUCUCAGUUCGGAUUGUAGUCUGCAACUCGACUACAUGAAGCUGGAAUCGCUAGUAAUCGUAGAUCAGCAUGCUACGGUGAAUACGUUCCCGGGUCU